ACUUUGGGACCGGGGUGCUCGUUGAGAAGAGUAAGAACGAUACGUGCUUUCACGUCUCCAAUAACACCAGAAAGGGGUCUGAAUACUAAAGGGGUCUGAAUUCUCGCUAAAUAUAGCGACACAUUCGCCAAGUUGGCAACACUGGGUUCCCACUAGUUACCACAGCCACAAAGCUGUGUCAUACUACUUCAAUAUUGACUAUAUUGUAAAAAUGCAUGAAAACACAAAUUUGCUUUAUGGUCUUCAUUUAAAGGUUAGGGUUAGGGUUAGGCAUAAGGUUAGCAGUGUGGUUAAUGUUAGGUUUAACAUCAGAUUUGAAGAAGAAAUGGUAGAAUUAAGCGGGGUUAAUAAUUUUGUGGAUGUGGUAACUAGUGACGACCCCGGAGGUGGAGGCUAGGACAGCAGGACGUUCUCGCGCCUGCUCAUCAGGUAGAAUGUUUCAAAUUGGGUGUGGCUUACCUAUUUUUGUUUUUGACUGUUGUUGUUUCUUCAGAGGCGAUAGGGGUCGUGAAUCGUUUUUUAAGUGUUAGGUAUAUCAUAUGGGACUAUUUUCUAGAGAUAUAUACCUAGACGUGUUAAAACCGUCCACACCUGUUUGGAGCUGAACCUCAUCUGAGUUCUGGAGUUUGUAAGCUUGCCUUAAGUUCUCAAGUGAGAUCUAUACAAGGGUCAGGAUGGCUGAGACUGAGCCAUGGAUCGGGACUGGAGGUCCAUGGGAAGCCACUGUCCAUCGCCUCCCUGUCUCAUGGAUCAAACAAUGGCUGUGGCAUCCUCCAACCUCCAGACCCAAGGUUGAAGACCUGGAGAGACAUUAUGCAGGACUGUUAGAAGACAGCACUACCAGUCCCUCCAGUUGCUGCUCUCGCCAGCGCAUCCUCCUGGCCAUCCUCAUCAUGGUGGCCCUGACAGUCAUGGCACUGCUGCUACUGUGGAACUACCAGUGCAUCAUGGUGUGGCACCUCUGCCAGGAAGAGCACUCUGGCUUCCCUAAGAUGAUGGAAGGGGGUAUAGGACUGGCACGUUGGGGGAGAGACUAGGGCAGCUUGAACAGGUUUAAGGUGUGAUAAUGCGAAAGCACAUUAACCCUAUCCAAACAUAUAGACCUGCUAGCUCAUUUUUGUCCUGAUUUUGUUUGUUUUUCUGCUUGGAUUCUAUGGUGCUAUACAUUUUGCACAAUGUUAGUUUUUCCAUAUAAGUUAUGAACAGGUGACAGGUUUUUCAGUUACUGUCAGAUUUGUUUGUUUGAAACUCGGGUUCAGAAAUAAACAAGGCCAAAAGUAUGUGGACAGCUUAUUCCAAAAUCAUGGGCAUUUAAUAUGGAGUUGGUCCUCCCUUUGAUGCAAUAACAGCCUCCACUCUUCUGGGAAGGAAACUUGUUGUUAGAACAUUGCUGCAGGGACUUGCUUCCAUUCAGCCACAAGCAUUAGUGAGGUUGGGCACUGAUGUUGGGCGAUUAGGCCUGACUCGCAGUCUGCGUUCCGAUUCAUCCCAAAGGUGUUCGAUUGGGGUGAUGACACGGCUCUGUUGGUCAGUCAAGUUCUUCCACGCCGAUCUUGAAAAAACAUUUCUGUAUGGACCUCGCUUUGUGCACAGGGGCGUUGUCCUGCUGAAACAGGAAAGGGCCUUCCCAAACUGUCGCCACAAAGUUGAAAGCGCAGAAUUGUCUAGAAUGUUGUGUGCUGUUUCAUUAAGAACCAUAAAAAAACGCCCCAGACCAUUAUUCCUCCUCCACCAAACUUUACAGCACUAUGCACUCGGCCAUCCCGUUCUGUGAGCUUGUGUGGCUUACAACUUCGCAGCUGAGCCAUUGUUGCUCCUAGAAGUUUCCACUUCACAAUAACAGCACUUAUAGUUGACUGGGGUAGCUCUAGCAGGGCAGACAUUUGAUAAACUGAGUUGUUGGAAAUGUGCAUCCUAUGACGGUGACACAUUUGAAAGUCACUGAGCUCUUCAGUAUGGGCCAAUCUACUGCCAAUGUUUGUCUAUAGAGAGUGCAUGGAAGUGUGCUCAAUUUAAUAGAACUGUCAGCAACGGAUGUGGCUUAAAUAGCUGAAUCCACUCAUUUGAAAGGGUGUCCACAUACUUUUGUAUAAAACACACUUUCAAUGGUUUAUUUUUGCCAUGUGUAUUACUCAAGCUGGAAUAUAUAAACUCUUAUGCUCUUAUUUCUUUUGUGAAUAUUAGAGGGUGAUUUUAUAUUUUGUAAGUGUUCCUACACUAGAAAUAAAGAUACUUGUUUGUCAUAUUAAGCUUGAUGCAAGUUUGCCAACCUACUAUAGUUUUGUUGUAUUUUACCACAAGGGGGAGUUAUUGUCCAUAAAUAAAACAUCAAGUCCCAGCUCUGAUGUUUCAAGGUGCAGCACUAACUGUUGUUUUGCAUGUCUUUUGGGGUUGAAGGUGGUCUCACUGAUUUUCCUGCUAAUUUAAACCAAGGGUUGGAUAAAAAUAAAUAAAACAGUGUGGCUCUCAAAUGGA